rnacentral:rRNA from 1 species
GAUGAACGCUGGCGGCGUGCUUAACACAUGCAAGUCGAACGGUAAGGCCCUUCGGGGUACACGAGUGGCGAACGGGUGAGUAACACGUGGGUGAUCUGCCCUGCACUUCGGGAUAAGCCUGGGAAACUGGGUCUAAUACCGGAUAGGACUCCGGACUGCAUGGUCUGGGGUGGAAAGCUUUUGCGGUGUGGGAUGGGCCCGCGGCCUAUCAGCUUGUUGGUGGGGUGAUGGCCUACCAAGGCGACGACGGGUAGCCGGCCUGAGAGGGUGACCGGCCACACGGGGACUGAGAUACGGCCAAGCCUCCUACGGGAGGCAGCAGUGGGGAAUAGUGCGCAAUGGGAGCAAGCCUGAUGCGGCGACGCCGCGUGAGGGAUGACGGCCUUCGGGUUGUAAACCUCUUUCAGCAUCGACGAAGCGAAAGUGACGGUAGGUGCGGAAGAAGGACCGGCCAACUACGUGCCAGCAGCCGCAGUAA